rnacentral:rRNA from 1 species
UGAACUAGCUAACUGAAAUCACAAGUACAUGAUAUGUGUCACUUGAGAUAACGUAAGGGAUAAUAAUGAUAUUACCUUACUAUUAGUGUCGUCCAAAGCUGGUGCCAGAAGGCUCGGUAAGGCCAGAGACGCAAACGUUAGUCAUUUAUUAACAGGCGUAAAGGGAUUCAGGUGAAGUAUCUACACUUUAAAAUUUUAUUUUAUAGUCGCAGUAGUAGUAGUAGCACUAUGCGGUAGAUCACAUGUAUCUCUAAUCAGGCGUAAAGGGUUUGUAGGCUGCUUUGAAAAUAUUCAUUUAAUAUAGCCAAAGUUUAUGAAUAUCAAUUAAAGCUAGAAUCUAAUAGAGGAUAUGUACGAAAUAAUGCUUGGUAGAGGGCCGAUAUCCAAAGACAUCAAGUGGAGUACCAAUGGCGUAGGCAUUUAUCCAUUAAAGAUUGACGCUGAGAAACGAAGGUGAGGGUAGGAAAUAGGAUUAGAUACCCAGAUACUCCUCUCUGUCAACGAUGAAUGGUAGUUUGUUAGUCUUUUUAGACUAGUGACGAAGUUAACACGAUAACCAUUCCGCCUUGUGAGUACGACUGCAAAGUUGAAAACAAAAAAUUAGUCGGUCUCGGAGCAAA